UAUGACAAUACCUGAUAUCUAAGGCCCGGAAAGCUUGUUUAAAAGUACGCAUUUCAGUAGGCAUUUGCCUAAAACAUUAUUAUUUAUCUAUGAAAAGAAAUGCAUCCUUGCUCUAUGGACACUGUUCAUGUUCAUUUAGUUCAAUAAAAUUGUUCUCUUAUUAGGUGUGUGAUUUCAAUCAGGUCAUGUCUACAAAUUUUUUUUUAGUGAACUCUGAUGAGCACCAAAGGGCCAUCAUGAUCGUCUUCUCAUACAGUAUGUGUUAAAGGUCCCCUUUGCACUUACCGCUGAUGCAAUUCUAUGAGAGCGAGAAUGAGUAUGCGCUCACUUUCGACAUAUUUCUUUUGCUUAAAUACUAUUGUAGGACAAGCAUGUUUAUUUAAAAAAUAACUGUUUUACGUUUGCAGUGUUUUGUAGUUUUAGUUUGUUUUGCUAUACUUCACUUAAUGAUUCUAGCAUACUGCUUUUUAUUAGUUAUACUGUUUUCAAUAUACAUGUUCGAACUAAUAUACAAGUCUUUUGUGCAAUAUAAUUUAACAAAUGGAAACUUUUUAUACGCCCGUUGAAAACAGGACGUAUUAUAGUUGCACCCUUGGCGGCGGGCGGGUGGCGUUCACAGCAGUGUUUGCUCUCCAAUUUAAAUAGUUUUCAUCCGAUCUUCACCAAACUUGGUCAGAAGUUGUAUCUAGACAAUAUAUAGGUCAAGUUUGAAUAUGGGUCAUGUCGGGUAAAAAACUAGGUCAUGGGGUCACUUAGUGCAUUUCAAGGAUUUAGCAUGGUGUCCGCUCUCUAAUUGAAGUAGUUUUCAUCCGAUCUUUACCAAACUUGGUCAGAAGUUGUAUCUAGACAAUAUCUAGGUAAAAGUUUGCAUAUGAGUCAUGCCGGGCCAAAAAACUAGGUCACUGGGUCACUUAGUGCAUUUCAAGGAUUAAGCAUGGUGUCUGCUCUCUAUUUGAAGUAGUUUUCAUCUGAUCUUCACCAAACUUGGUCAGAAGUUGUAUCUAGACAAUAUGUACGUCAAGUUUGAAUAUAGGUCAUGCCGGGUCAAAAACUAAGCCACGGGUUACUUAAUGCAUUUCAAGGAUUUAGCAUGGUGUCUGCUCUCUAAUUGAAGUAGUUUUCAUCCGAUUUUCACAAAACUUGGUCAGAAGUUGUAUCCAGACAAUAUCUAGGUCAAGUUGGAAUAUGGGUCUUGACGGGUCAAACACUAGGUCACAGGGUCAUUUAGGACAUUUUAAGUUAGGCAUGGUGUCCGCUCUCAAAUUGAAGUAGUUUUCAUCCGAACUUCACCAAACUUGGCCAGAAGUUGUAUCUAGACAAUUUCUAGGUCAAGUUCGAAAAUGUGUCAUGCCAGGUCAAAAACUAGGUCAUGGUCUCACUUGGUGCAUUUCAAGGAUUAAGCAUGGUGUUCGCUCCCUUAUUGAAGUAGUUGUCAUCCGAUCUUCACCAAAUUUGGCCAGAAGUUGGGUCUUAAUGAUAUCUAGGUCAAGUUCAAAUAUGGGUCAUGUCGGGUCAAAAACUAGGUCAUGAGGUCACUUUGUGCAUUUCAAGCAUUUCGCAUGGUGUCCGCUCUCUAAUUAAAGUAGUUUUCAUCCUAUCUUCACCAAAUUUGGUCAGAAGUUGUGUCUAGAUGAUAUAUAGAUCAAGUUCAAAUAUGGGUCAUUGUAAAGUUAUCAAGUUAUCCAAAACCUUCAAACGGGUGUAUCUUGUGACAGUUUGGCACUCUUGUUUUUAAAGAUAUUUCUGGUUAAACUUUGUAAUAUGGCAAUCAGAAUAUGAGGUAAACUAUGUUCGAACACAAUUCAAGUUCCAAUUCCUGAUAUUUUAUUUCUUAAUUAACGGAUGGACUUACUGUAACCCUAUCAUUGGAAGAUGCAAAAAUGUGUUAUAUAAUUAUACCCCCAUUACUGGUAAUGGGGGCUAUAUAGGAGUCACUUUGUCGGUCUUUCUGUCGGUCUGUCAGUCUGUCGGUCUGUCUGUCCCGAAAAUUUCAUUCGAUCUUCACCAAACUUGGUCAGAAGAUGUAUCUAGAUAAUGUCAAGUUCAAGUUUUAAUAUGGGUCAUGCCAUGUAAAAGUCUAGGUCACGGGGUCACUUAGUGCGUUUUAAACAGAAAGUUUGUCCGGACAAUAUCUAUGUCAUAUAUGGUUAGAUUUUAAAAUGACUUGGUACAUUUGUUCACCAUCAUGGGACGGUGUGUCGCGUGAAAGAUGUACAUCAAUAUCUCUAAGGUCAAGGUCACACAUUGAGUUCAAAGGUAAAAUGCUUGUCCGGGCCAUAAAUUUGUCGUUUAUUGUGAGAUUUUAAAAUCAUUUGGCACAUUUGUUCACCAUCAUUGGACAGUGUGUCACCCGAAAGAAUAAAGUUGAUAUCUCCAAGGUCAAGGUCACACUUUUAGUUCAAAGGUCAAAAAUGGCCAUAAAUUAGCUUGUCCGGGACAUAACUAUGUUUUCAUUGUGAGAUUUUAAAAUUAUUUGGCACAUUUCUUCACCAUAAUUGGACGGUGUGUUGUGCGAAAGAAUAACGUCAAUAUCUCAAAGGUCAAGGUCACACUUUGAGUUCAAAGGUAAAAAAUGGCCAUAAAUGAGCUUGUGCGGGCCAUUACUCUGUCGUUAAUUGUGAGAUUUUAAAAUUAUUUGGCACACUUGUUCACCAUCAUUGGACGGUGUGUCGCGCGAAAGAAUUAGGUCAAUAUCUCCGCGGUAAAGGUCACACUUUGAGUUCAGAGGUCAAAAAUGGCCAUAAAUGAGCUUGUCCGGGCCAAAACUAUGUCGUUCAUUGUGAGAUUUUAAAAUCAUUUGGCACGUUUGUUCACCAUCAUUGGACAGUGUGUCGCGCAAAAGAAUAACGUCGAUAUCUCCAAGGGCAAGGUCACACUGAGUUCAAAGGUAAAUAAAUGGCCAUAAAUGAGCUUGUCUGGGCCAUAACUAUAUCGUUCAUUGUGAGAUUUUAAAACCAUUCAUUCACCAUCAUUAGACGGUGUGUCACACGAAAGAAUUAUGUCGAUAUCUCCAAGGUCAAGGCAAUACUUUGAGUUCAAAGGUCAAACAUGGCCAUACAAAAUCUUGUCCGGGCCAUAACGAUGUCAUUCAUUGUGAGAUUUUAAAAUGACUCUGUAGAUUUAUUUUGUUCACAGUCAUUGGAUGGCGUGUCAUGCGAAAGAAUUCAAAUGUUCGAAGGUCAAAAUGGCCAUAAAUGAUAAUUGCAUAAUAAUUCUUAAAAGUCGCAAAAAUUAGCUUCUCUUGUUUUGUGAAGACAGAAUGCAAAAUAGUCUGUGUCAAUGCAGCAUGUGGGGGUAUACGUCACGUCUGUGACAAAGCUCUAGUUCUGCUUAAACAUCCGUUUGUUUAAGCGCUUAACGUUAGACAAAUCGUUAGCAUAAGAAUUUUAAUUGUUAACUAUUUUUAAUACUCAACGUAUUGUAAAAUUAAAGCAUUUGCUUCUUUUUGUGCACUUGUUGUUGUAGCAGCAUCAUGUAUAUUCGUUUGAAGUUGUUUUUUCUCAUUUCUGUAAGGUAAUUUGUCAAUGUAGUUGUUUUAAACAGUUAUUUAUACGAUUCAUACUCACUUUUUGAUUUAUUUUAUCACACCUCUGUGCUGAUAUUAGCCUGUUACAGAGUUUCUUAUUUAAUUAUAUCAGGUUAGUAGGCGUUUAUGUCGGUAACAAUUUGGAUGUGUGACAUGUUACUCGGAAUCAACUGUUAAGUUUUCUUUUUCGAUAGAUUUGAAUUAAAGUAAGAAAAACUGUUUGAUAACAAUGUGUUGUAUACUUAAAUGGGCCUUUUCACGUUUUGGUAAAUUUACAAAAUAAAAAAACAAUAGCGCAGAUGUCUUUGAAAGUUUAUUUGCAAGAUGCAGGUUAGUUUCUGCUGAAGUAAAUGUUAAAGAAUUAGUUGUCUGAAUUAAAAUGUAAAAGGCUAUCAAAAAGAUUUUGUAUGAAGAACAAGAAUAUUGCUAAGCAAUAAAAGUCCCCUACCUCGCAUGAAGCAGUAAUAUAAUUGUCUUCCUUUGUUUUCAAGGGACGUAAUUCUUUUAAGUUUGCAUUGUAGAUGGUAAUUUUCUAAAAAUAACUCGCUUUUGCCAAUAAUACAAUUGUUUUAUGAACGAAAUUUGUUUUAGUUACUUAGAACGCUUCUUUCACGUAGAACGGUCUUAGAAAAAUUCACCAAAAAUGAUGUGAGCAAUGUUCUUGGAAGAAAAUGUUAGACAAAAGUUUCUAAAUGAAAAAUUGUAAGAAUUACGAAAUACUACAUACAAUAUCUAUUUCGUCUGCCCAAAAUCAGUAAAGGCUUGAAAAAGGACAACCGUUUCCACUGUGAUAUUGAAAUGCGGUAUUAAAAAAGCCUAUUUGCGUUGCAAAUAGACUAAAACUACUGAAAAUUAACCAUGCUCUAAAAUAUUCAUUAUAUGCAUCUUUUGACGAUUUAAAAACACGGAAAUUAUAAAGCGUUGCAUCUCAAAACGAUUGAAUAAUUUUGAGAGUUCUGUUAUUGUCGUUAUAUUUUGAGCCGUUACGAAGAUUGCUUAUAUAAAGUAUAAAAUACAUCAAUAAUUGCAUGAGCACAGAUGGCCAAUUGGUAUAAGCGAUAGACUUUUACUCCAGGGUCAAUGGUUCGAGCUCAGUUUAAGAUUACUUUUUUCUAUCUUUAAUUUUAUUCUUGAUAUUUUACUCUAGCUUUUUAGAUCCAAUGUGCACAUUUAUCACGAUAAAGCAUUGAAUGAAAACUUCAAUAUAUGACCAAAUCUGUGAAAAGGCCCCUUUAAGACCCAAAAUGCAACAAAAAAAGAUUAAUUGUGAAUGUAAAAACAUUAGAUUUAUAUAUAUAUCCUACUGCCCUGUUGUUUUAGCUCACCUGCCACGAAGUGACAUGGUGAGCUUAUGUGACCGUGUGAUGUCCGGCGUCCGUAUGUGCGUGCGUGCGUGUCUGCGUGUGUCCGUCAACAAUUUGUUUGUAUAGACAGUAGAGGUCACAGUUUUCAUCCAAUCUUUAUGAAAUUUGGUCAGAAUGUUUAUCUUGAUGAAAUCUGGGUUGGGAUUGUAUUUGCGUCAUCUGGGGUCAAAAACUAGGUCACUAGGUCAAAAACUAGGUCACAUAAUAGGUCAAAUAAUAGAAAAACCUUGUGUAGACAAUAGAGGUCGCAGUUUUCAUCCAAUCUUUAUGAAAUUUGGUCAGAAUGUUUAUCUUGAUGAAAUUUGUGUUGGGAUUGUAUUUGGGUCACCUGUGGUUAAAAACUAGGUUACUAGGUCAAAUAAUUGAAAAAUCAACAAUUUGUGUAGACAGUAUAGGUCACAGUUUUCAUCCAAUCUUUAUGAAAUUUGGUCAGAAUGUUUAUCUUGAUGAAAUCUGGCUUGGGAAUGUAUUUGGGUCAUCUCUGGGUCAAAAAUUAGGCCACAAGGUCAAAAACUAGGUCAAAUAAUAGGAAAACCUUGUGUAGACAAUAGAGGUCGCAGUUUUCAUCCAAUCCUUAUGAAAUUUGGUCAGAAUGUUUAUCUUGAUGAAAUCUGUGUUGGGAUUGUAUUUGGGUCAUCUGAUGUUAAAGAAUAGGUCACUAGGUCAAAUAAUAGGAAAAACCGUCAACAAUUUGUUUGUGUAGACAUUAGAGGUCACAGUUUUCAUCCAAUCUUUAUGAAAUUUGGUCAGAAUGUUUAUCUUGAUGAAAUCUGGGUUGGGAUUGUAUUUGGGUCAUAUGGGGUCAAAAACUAGGUCACUAUGUCAUAAACUAGGUAACUAGGUGAAAUAAUAGAAAAACCUUGUAUAGACAAUAGAAGUCGCAGUUUUCAUCCAAUCUUUAUGAAAUUUGGUCAGAAUGUUUAUCUUAAUAAAAUCUGGGUGGGGAUUGUAUUUGGGUCAUCUUGGGUCAAAAACUAGGUCAAUAGGUCAAAUAAUAGAAAAACAUUGUGUAGACAAUAGAGGUCACAGUGUUCAUCCAAUCUUUAUAAAAUUUGAUCAGAAUGUUUAUCUUGAUGAAAUCUGUGUUGGGAUUGUAUUUGGGUCACCUGGGGUCAAAAACUAGUUCAAUAGGUCAAAUAUUAGAAAAACCUUGUGUAGACAAUAGAGGUCACAGUUUUCAUCCAAUCUUCAUGAAAUUUGGUCAGAAUGUUUAUCUUGAGGAAAACUGGGUUGGGAUUGUAUAUGGUUAGUCAGGUGAGCGACCCAGGGCCAUCAUGGCCCUCUUGUAUAAUAUAUUAUAUUCAGCACGAAUGUAAAAGCGAGCCUCGCAAUUAUUUGUUGUAAUUCUCACUUGAUAUAUUACAACUUGGUACGUCAGUAACCUGUUUAUCUAUUUUAUUAUUUAUAUACACGUUACUUUUGUUAAAACAUGUUAUGAAUGCUGAAUUGAUCAUGUUCUAUUAAAUACGUUAUUUCAUGUUUUCAAAUGAUACCAACUUAAGAUCAAAACCUUAUUAAAUUCAUUCACACCUUAUGUUCUUUAAAAUUCAUAGAACUUAAUAAAUAAUUAAUACGA